CUAUGUUGACAGGGGAAAGACAUGAGGUCCAGGUGAGACCAUUUUUUCCCCUCAUGCAGGAAGGCCCAGCUGAUGUCAAUAAUUCUAACAAUGGCUUUAGUACUGCCCCACUCUGAGCCUGCUUGCUGGAACCUUAUAGAGGAAGCAAUGCCCAGGUCUCUGGGUUCCUGCUCCCAAAGGGAUUCUUGGACUGUGCCGUGGAACUGUUGUUGGGGAAAGAACCUGAGAACCAGGGCUCUGUUCAAGUUCUGGAAGCCCUUGCCAAGUCUUUCUAGUCCAUUGUGGAUCUCUUCUUGCUUCUGGAAUGCCUCUUCUCAGCUGGGCUCUGACCUCUUUCCAUCACCGCUACAUGGACUUUCACCAUAUCGAGGAUGUGGUGCCAGGUACUGAGGUUUUAGCACUGUGCCUCUGUGCCAAUCUCAUCUUGGAAAGUCCCUCAAGUGCUUGGGAUCUUCUCAUCUUGUGGCAUCCAUCAUCUGCCAUGGAAACUUCCUUAUCCCAUUG
rnacentral:lncRNA from 1 species